GAUUAUGUGGACCCAGAUUGCUUCAAUGUGGCUGUGCGUGUACUAGCGAGCCACCCAUCAAACUUAUGUAGAGAUCAGCUGGUUCACUUAAUGGAUCUGAAGUUUUGCACGAUGUCCAAAUUUGCACGAGACGCGGGUUGUCGUGAAAUGUUAGACAUUGAACAGCUAGCACAAUUGUUUCGUAGCUGGCCUAGCUGCAUCGACGAGUACCGUAUCUCAGAUUGUGACACGAUUUAUUUGCCUUAUGAAAUUUAUGGGCUAUAUAUGUUGUUCGUCUUCAACCUUCAAAAAAAAUUGUCUAUAUUUUGAAUCCGCUUCCAAUACAAUCUUGGGGGG